UGGUCAUCUAGUUAUAUCAUAUUUAUUUGUUAAAUUUUACUAUAAAAUAUUAUUAUUGGUUUUCACUGUGAGGAAAAUUGCAGAGCCAAGACAUUACCAUUCUGAUAGUUGUUAUAAAAACACCUUUUUUUGUCCUGUGGUAUUCUGCUCGCCUCAAUUUGUAUUGUUGGGGUUUUUUUUUCUCCGCUGAGUCAAACCAAAGACUUAAAAAUUGGUAUUUGCUGCUUCUUUACUCAUGGCAGUUAGGAGUAAGAACAAAGACUGGUUGACUCAGAGUUAGAAUAAUUUUAGUAGGGUGACAUGUCUUCUUCUUACUGUUACAAUGUUAGCUAGAAAAUAAGAUGUGGUAUGAUAGCCAAUGAGAAAACUCUUCACAAGAGACUAAAUCACAUAGAAAUUACUACUAGCAUGUUAAAAAUCUAUGUCAGCGUGUCGUUAGAGAACAAAGCAAGCUUUAUAAUUUUACACACAUUAUUAUGUUCUUGUUCUAAAACACGUUUAAUUUGCCGUGUAAUUUGCCACAAGACGGUAAAUGUCAAUCCAUUCAUCAUCUUUCAUCCAGUUGUUAAAGUUUAUGAUUUAGAUACACAGACAAGCCAUAUCCAUGUGUUAAUUAUUAAUAAAGUAUUAUUUUUUUUUAAAGUAAAUCCAAAUUGAAUGACAUUUUUCAAAGUAUUUACACAAAGCAAACA
rnacentral:lncRNA from 1 species